ACCGCUAUUCCUGCUAGGGCAGGUUUACAACUGAUGUCUUACACCCACUCCAGGAAACAAACCUGGGUAGGGACUGACGUGUUACGCCUCUUCUAAUGACAUUUUUUUUUCUUUCCACCUCCUUUUCUUUGCCGUGGAACACAGAGGAGAAGCCCCCUGAAACGCACGCCACCUAUCUUCACGGGAGGGGAUAAUUGAGGAGAGGCAAACCUGCGUUUUUUGAGGCAAACCAGCGAAGUCGGGGAGCGAGAUUUCAGGACGGGGAACUUGGAGCGUGUCCACGCCGCCCGCAUCAUGAUUAUUUCACGUGCUGGAGGCCACUAAAGAAGAUGAAUCCCACAUUUAUUACAGAAGGAGCCAUCUCUCCCGUGCGCCACUGUGAAUGUGUGUGAAAGAGAGAUAGUGUGUGUGUGAGGGAGAGAGAGAGAGAGGAGUGUGUGUGAGAGAGAGAGGAAGCUCCACCUUUGCAGCUCACUGAUUGGUUAUGUAAAUAAAGUGUUAUUUUGUGUACCAUCCUCUUGCAGUUUGCCACUGUAUGGCUAAUUAAAUCAUCAAUCAAGGGCAGAACUGGUUAAAGCUCCGCCCUUUAAUACCCCCCACGUCCCCCGUCCUCACGUCCCCCGUCCUCGCCACCAAAAUAAUAACACAAAUAAAACGGCUCGAGUUUCUACGUGUCGUACUUGUGCAGUUCAGUUCUUUAAAAUGUGGAUUAUGAGGCUAAAAAAGUAAAGUUUUGCCUCUACUUUUUUUUUUUUUUCUGCAUGGGAUCCAGUCGUGAGUGAAUUAUUGUCAUGCGUAAUUUACUGCUCACAUGUAAACCAAGUAGCCCAGCAGUGUCUCGCGCACACACACUCACGCCCACUCUCAUCGUGCAACUCGCCCUCACACACACACGCACACUUGAAACUGCAGCUCCCAUUCAUCCACGGAAGCCUGGAGUGGCACCUCCGCGCGCCGGCUCUUGGACGUGGGGCCACAUAUUCAGCGUGAAAAGGGAUUACAGUCGGUGUGUGACCUAUAGGGGGACCUUGCGCUUAAUGAAUAUAUUGAUUUAAUUGAGGGCACGCAGCCCCCGAAACAAUGUUUGUCCCAGAUUCAUAUUUCACAGCUUGUGCGAAUCGGAACAGAGACAUGUGUGCGGCGCUGCCAUUGAUCACUCACAAACACUGAAAUGCUGCAGCCGUUGUAUAUUGUUGUAUAUAAGGUGCAUCUUUUGGAGCAUGUGAUUCACUGCGGCUUAUUUUCCAAAGUUCAAAUGUUGCCCCGCAAAAUCCACACUGGGUCACUUGUUUGGGUUUUUUUCAAACCGCCGACACAUGAAUCGUGUUGUCUAACCCCAGGCCAAAUUAAAAUCCAAAUUUCUCUGACAAACAACUCCCUUUCUUUCCAUUCCACUUCAUCUUCCCGCAUGCGUGGUGAACAAAGUGUGUCAUUUCUGUCUGGUGAGCGGAGCGGUUGUUUCAUGACGUCCAUGCUCGAGUCUUCAAAGCCUCAAUUAGGAUCACAAGCAAGGAGGGGGUCAGAGGUCACGUGAGCAGUGUCAGGGUUGCAGGAGGACUUGACUGGAAAGACUCGACAAGUAAUCGUCGCAUCAAUAUCUUUAAACCUUGGGAACUAACUAUCUGCCCGGUGAUCAGGUGCCAAACAAGAGACGGCGCCUGAGGAAUGCAUAUCCAUGUCGUGCAGUCAACAACUCCGCCGGCAGGCGUCCCUGGUUAUUGGCCUUAUUUAGAGUCACAUGACGCAGCAGUGGAUGUACUGAGGAGUCCAUGCGCAGCUCGCUCUGAUGAGAUACGAAGACCCACAAGCACAGUCGGAUCAGCCAUGCAUUUGCGCAGAGGAAGAGGAAUUUUGCCUGAAGUUUGGUGACGAAUACUGAUGUUGUCAUUAUUAGACUGAAACAAGAAAUAUUUUUCUUUUCUUUAGUACGUGUCAAAAUGAAAGACCUUCAUGACAGACCUCAUGACAUGAGUGGAGACAAAUUAUUAUAUGAAUUAUUGAAUUAUUAUAAUGUAUGUAUUCAUUUUUCUCAUCCAUUCACGUGGAUUUAUGACAUAUAUUUGCCCAAAAUAUCAAUCUACAUGUAUUAAUGAAAUAAUAUAAAUAGGGAAAAAAAGGUUUUAGGAGUAUGUGAUUUGACUUUUCCAUACACUCUUGCUUCAGACAGUGAGUGGCAUGUCUCUGCAUAUAAAAAAAAAAAGUAGGGCACUGUCAAGAAAGCUGUCAAGCAAGCUGAUCUGUGUCCUGAGAGCAGCGUUGUUUCUUCUCUUAAUUAAAACAACAGUUGCUGCAAAUGCACGGCCUGAGACGACGCAGAAUCCCAGAUCGCAUCUCCACUACGUGCUCAUUUGUGUCUGCAGCAGCUCUGCGAACAUCAAACUGUGCAUCUCUCGAUGGGGCUGCGCUCUGUGAUGGCCACUGCUCAGUGAAACAGCACAACUCCAGAGAUUGACGGACAAUUAAAGAGCGUGGAGCGAAGGGUCGCGCGUGUGAUCCACGAGAACUCUUCAAACAUGCAAAAUGAGUUGAGCAGAAGAAGAGAAAACUGAUCUCUCUCAGUUAGACGCUCGCUUGAGAGCCGCAGAAACAAACAUUCACACUUUAAAAAGUAUUGAUUUUUUUCUUGUUCUUGUUUGGAGAAACUGGGCAGAAGCUUCUGCAAAUGACCAGUUUUUAAAUGACACACACAGAAGAGACAUAAACAGCUGGUGGUGCCACAAUAAUCGGAGGCGACAGACAUUAUUCUGAAACUCACACAGGUAUGGAAAUGAGCAGAGCCUCGGUUACUGUCAGUAAACUUACCUACAAAAAGAUCAGUUUAAUGUUAUACCUGAAACAACAAUAAAUAAAUACAAUUAGCAUGUGGUGAGAAAUAUGUGUCCUCAGAGAUCAAGCGUCAACUUUGUUUAAGCAACUACGACGCCGAUGUUUGUCCUAAACUGACCGUGAUAUUAUUAUUUUGGCACGUCAGAUAUCAGCUGUAUGACGCGAGGGAGAAGCAAUAAUGGCUGUCUGCCUGAAGAAAAGUGGCUCCAGAAAUCACCAUUCAUUUUGCGCUCAUAAGUUGAAAUGCUUUUAACUCUUGAACAGCCAGCGCAAGCACCUUUUUGAGCCAAUAGAUCCUGUCUGGACAGAAAGAUCAAGUUCGGAGAAUGAUGUAGGACAGUGCAUUACUGAUUUAAAUUGGAACACUUCACUCUGUCACUCCAUUAACAGAGAUGAAGUCAUUUGUUAGAAAUGACACGCUGCUUCGUUUUAUGGCCACGUUAUUUGUCCAUAUCUAAAACACCUGCACAAAAUACCUGCCACUGAAAUCGGUCAGUUGCAGGUAUUUUGAAGGAUUAGAAAUGUAUUUUGGGUCAUUCAAAAGUUAAAUACUGAGGAAAAUAUGAGACUGUUAUUGUGUACACUCAGAUGCUGCUUUUAUCUGAUGAUACAUGAUACUUCUAUAGCUCAGAGUACCUAAGUGAAGAGGCCAAAAGACAUUUCUUCUCUCUCUCUGUCUCUCUGCCAAGCAACAAGGGCGUGUUAUUCUCAGUCAAGGAACCAUAUUUGCUGUAGGUGAGUAUUGUAUAAAGACCACAUCUUUGGACUGCAGGAGUGACGUGUUUACUGUUACAAAGCGUAGAAGAAAAUCUGCUCCGUGUAAGGGUUUGACAAGUUUGAAGAAUCUGAAGGUGGAGUGGAACAAACCGGAUCAAACAUGAACAUUCAAGAGAAGUGACUCAGAAAUCGUGCACGACGAUAGAUGGCAAUUCUUCCUCCUGACGCAGCUGAAGUAGCGCCACCAAAACAAACCCUCCACAUUUACUGUACUUGACAAAAUAAAAAGGUUUUGAUUGCGAUUCUGAUUGAUCCCACAAGAAAACUUUGCUGGGAGGAAAAGAAAAAAAAAAAAAGAUUGCUCACUGAAAUGAAUAAUUGACAGUGCCUCAAAUGAAUAUUUAAUCAAACACUUGAAUAAUUGUUGUAGCUCUAAUCUCUACAGUCAUUUGCAUAUUUGCGUGUUCUUAACAUUUGCCUCUGUAUGUGGACUUCGAUCCUCGUAGGACACUGAAGUAGGAUUUAAAAGAUUUCGUACGUUUGAAGGAGCCUUUUGGAGAGCUGCCCACAGGAGCCGGUCAGUCAGCUGAUGGUGACAUCACUUUCUCCGGAAGCUUCAAACACCUCUCAGGCCUCGCUAGCAACUGAAGUGCGCUCAAAUCACAAGUUCUUACCUGCAUCCUCUCCUUGCCCCGUCGUGAACCUGCAUUUAUUUAUGUAUUUUUUGUUCAACAGUUCCUGCUGUUAAAUGGUGUUUUGAGGAAGAUUCAAGAUGAAGUACUGCAAUCACAUGUAGUAUUUCACAACCAUCUGUGUAUUCAGGAAACGAAAAAGUGUCAGGGUCAUGUGGUCAAGCAGGAUGUGGACAUUUCGCUGAGUCAGAUUGAAUAAAGCAGAUUCUUGGAAGGGAACCUACAUCUAUUUCAACUCACUUUUACGGCUGGAUUACUAACACCUUCAUGUCACUCAUGUAACACGCAGCAGUUACGAAAACAUACAUGGAAACAAAAGACAGACUUGAAUUCAAAUGCACACACUCAAAAGUGGAAGUGGAGAAAUGGAUGAGCAAAUCAAAGGACUAUAUACGUUUGAACAGCAGGAGUUUAGGUGCUCUCAACCAAGCUGUGUGGUUGAGAGCAGCGGUGUGAAUGGGCUGUAAAGAAUUUCUUACACGAGAAAAUGGUCUUUCAUUCAGGUUGGUCAGGUGACUUUUUUGUGUUGUAAAGCUGAAAACAACAAUGAAAACAGGCAUUAGGAAUCUUCAUCAAAGCUCCUUGCUUUGUAAGCAUAUCGGUGUUUGUGUGCUGGUUGAGGGGAGAAUAAACACUUUUUUUUUUUUAAUGGUCAAAUUUUCAACAAAAUCUCUUCAUAAGAGCUUUUCUGGCUACACGCACAUUUUCACAUUCAAUCAUUUUGCAACAAUGAGCUGAACAGUCGUUGCCGAAUGAGCGCUAUUUACAGUAGUCUGGUGG